UCGGGAAUAUUGCGCAAUGGAGGAAACUCUGACGCAGUGACGCCGCGUGCAGGAAGAAGGUUUUCGGAUUGUAAACUGCUUUAGACAGGGAAGAAACAAGACAGUACCUGUAGAAUAAGCUCCGGCUAACUACGUGCCAGCAGCCGCGGUAAUACGUAGGGAGCAAGCGUUAUCCGGAUUUAUUGGGUGUAAAGGGUGCGUAGACGGGAAUGCAAGUUGGUUGUGAAAUCCCUCGGCUCAACCGAGGAAUUGCAACCAAAACUAUAUUUCUUGAGUGCUGGAGAGGAAAGUGGAAUUCCUAGUGUAGCGGUGAAAUGCGUAGAUAUUAGGAGGAACACCAGUGGCGAAGGCGACUUUCUGGACAGUAACUGACGUUGAAGCACGAAAGUGUGGGAGCAAACAGGAUUAGAUACC
rnacentral:rRNA from 1 species